rnacentral:rRNA from 1 species
UGGCGGACGGGCGAGUAAUGUCUGGGAAACUGCCCGAUGGAGGGGGAUAACUACUGGAAACGGUAGCUAAUACCGCAUAACGUCGCAAGACCAAAGAGGGGGACCUUCGGGCCUCUUGCCAUCGGAUGUGCCCAGAUGGGAUUAGCUAGUAGGUAAGGUAACGGCUUACCUAGGCGACGAUCCCUGGCUGGUCUGAGAGGAUGAUCAGCCACACUGGGACUGAGACACGGCCCAG